UCGUGUCCAAAAAGAAAAAGAAAAGAAAAAAUCAAAGCCCUCAUCUUGACACUCGACACUCAGCUCUCUCUCGACCUUAAACCUAGAAACCCAUCUCGAUCUCAAGCAGUACUACCUUUCGAACCCUUUUCCGGCGAAUGGCUUUGAUUUCAUAGGAGCCUCUUCCUUCCCCUUCCUCACCUUCACCCUCUUCUCCCUCGCUGUCACCGUCCUUAACAACCUGAGCCUCCUCCUGGUUUUGGUUUUUCUCCACCUCCCUUCAGCCUCCCGCUCCAUCUUUCUCUCUCGCGGCUCGUAUUCAGCCGUCAAAGCUUCCGCCGCUCACAUGGAUCUGCAACCAUGACCUUCGUCUUAAUCUAUCGCAUAAAACCAUGGGCUUCGUCGAAACCAUCUCCAUGACCAUCCUUCCUAAUUCUCUGAUUUGUUCGACGGAGUCGAGAUCAACAAUGACCAAGCUCUCCACGAUCUCUUCUCUCGUCUCCGAUGUCCUCAUCGUCCUCCUCUGCUCUCUCGUCAUUCUCGGCCUUCUCUUCCGCCAAAUGAACAUCUCGUCAGUUUCCCAUUUUGUCCUCCAUUUUCCUUCUGUGAUGAGUUGCUUUUCUUUCUGAUGAUUUUGGUUUGGUUGGUGACUUGGGUUUUUGGGAAAUUAGGGUAAUUGGUAUGAAUUGGGGUUUUGGGUUGGUUGUUUCUGAUUCUAGUUUGAAAUGCUGAUGAGAAAUUUGGGUUUGUGUUUAGUACCAUGAUUUUGAUGAAAUGGGUGCAAAGUUUGGGUGUUGUUUUGAUGUUUUCCCUUAAUUUCUUCCAUUUGUUAUGUUUCUGUGUGAUCUGAAUUGAAGCAAUUGUCUUAGAGGUUCCUCCCGUACAAUGAACUAUGCUUAUGUUAAGUUUGGUUAUCUGCUGUGUGCUUACUUUUGUGACCUCGGUUAGUAGUCCGGGCUCUCUUAUUUCUAAUGGUAGAAAAGGCUCAGCUGACGGAAAUUUCAAUAAUGAAAAGAUGAACAAGGUGUAACAGCACAGAAGAAUGACAAUGGGACAGAGCAAUUCUCAAGGUAGAGUUGUAUUCAAAUGCUCUAAACUCUGCCCUCAAUGAGGAAAUGUCCGCCGAUCCGAAAGCGUUUUUGAUGGGUGAAGAGGUUGGGAGUAUCAAUGUGCUUACAAGAUAACUAAAGGACAUUUGGAUAAGUAUGGCCCUGAGAGAGUUCUCGAUACCCCAAUCACAAAGCUACAAACUUGACAAGCUGGCCUUUUUAGUCACAUUUUGUUCCCUUCAUGUGGCUUUGAGGAUGAGAUUCUUUGAACAAAAACCUCUGGAUCAAAAGAUUGUUAUGAGGUGUGGGAUUAUGAAUGGGAUCUCCAUAGGACUUUUAGACCUGAGCCUGGGGUUUAAUUCUAUUGGCUUUUAUCAGCUCAAAGGCUUCAGCUUGCUGAUGUAUACAAAGGGGAGGCUACUGGAAGUUCAUACACGUCAAUAAAGUUAUCUGAGGUGGUGAUUCUUUUAGCUUUAAGUUUUCUGUUCAACUAUGGCUGGAUCUAAAUCCUAUGCAGUGGUAUUCUGUUUCAAGUUUGUAAUCCUAGAAGUUGACUUGGCAAAUUCAUUUAGCAUUUAUGUUAUCUCUGGGAAUAUUCAGAACCUGGGCCUCAUUCGUCUUCUUGAUUACAUUGUUAAUGACAUUCCAAAACAUGCCCAAAAAGCGUUGUUUCCCGGUAUAUGGUUGACGGAGGUCUCAGUUGAUUCGUACAAGGUUCCUGAAUUCCCUGAAAAUGUCAAGGUUACAUCGGCACAGAUGGAAUACCAGCUACCUCGACUAACAAAAAUAUGCUGCACAAGAUGGAAAUUGGAUUGCUCGUAUUGCAGCAUUGCUUGUGGGUGAGGAUCGAACACAAUCUUGUAUAGCUUAUGAAAUUGGAAGGCUUAGUUCAAUGAAAUGUUUAAAUGCUUAUAAAAUUGUAUACAGUGAAUCGAUUGGAGUUUGUUUUGAUGUAUCAAAGUUACUUUUAGCAUUAAUAUAAAAUUAUUGUUCAUUGGUAAUAA